GAUGAACGCUGGCGGCGUGCCUAAUACAUGCAAGUCGAGCGAAGCGGGGACGGGUGAGUAACACGUGGAUAACCUCCUAUACGUCUGGGAUGAAUUGGGGUAACCGGGGCUAAACAUGAUACUUAAAGAUGAUUCGUUGCUGCAUUAGCUAGUUGGUAAGGUAACGGCUUACCAAGGCAACGAUGCAUUGCCGACCUGGGAGGGUGAUCAGCCACACUGGAACUGAGACACGGUCCAGACUCCUACGGGAGGCAGCAGUAGGGAAUCUUCCGCAAUGGGCGAAAGCCUGACGGAGCCACGCCGCGUGAGUGAUGAAGGUCUUCGGAUCGUAAAACUCUGUUAUUAGGGAAGCGGUACCUAAUCAGAAAGCCACGGCUAACUACGUGCCAGCAGCCGCGGUAAUAC
rnacentral:rRNA from 1 species